GACGAACGCUGGCGGCGGGCCUAACACAUGCAAGUCGAACGAGUGGCGGACGGGUGAGUAAUGUCUGGGAAACUGCCUGAUGGAGGGGGAUAACUACUGGAAACGGUAGCUAAUACCGCAUACCAUCAGAUGUGCCCAGAUGGGAUUAGCUAGUUGGUGGGGUAACGGCUCACCAAGGCGACGAUCCCUAGCUGGGCUGAGAGGAUGACCAGCCACACUGGAAGUGUGACAGGGUCCAGACUCCUCCGGGAGGCAGCAGUGGGGAAUAUUGCACAAUGGGCGAAAGCCUGGUGCAGCCAGGCCGCGUGUAUGAAGAAGGCCUUCGGGUUGUAAAGUACUUUCAGCGUGGAGGCGUUACCCGCAGAAGAAGCACCGGCUAACUCCGUGCCAGCCGCCGCGGUAAUUC
rnacentral:rRNA from 1 species